rnacentral:rRNA from 1 species
GACGAACGCUGGCGGCGUGCUUAACACAUGCAAGUCGAACGGACAGGCCCUGCUUUUGUGGGGUUCUCGAGUGGCGAACGGGUGAGUAACACGUGAGUAACCUGCCCUUGUCUUUGGGAUAACUUCAGGAAACUGGGGCUAAUACCGGAUAUGAGCUCCUGCUGCAUGGUGGGGGUUGGAAAGUUUCGGCGGUUUGGGCUCGACUCGAGGCUUAUGCGCUUGUUGGUCGGGUAGUGGCUUACCAAGGCUUUGACGGGUAGCCGGCAUGAGAGGGGUACCGGGGACAAUGGGACUGAGAUACGCACCAGACGCGUACGGGAGGCAGCAGUGGAGAGUAUGGCGGAAUGGGGGGAAGCCAGAGGCAGAAACGCCGCGUGCGGGAUGACGGGCUUCGGGUUGUAAACCGCUUUCGCAUGUGACGAAGAGGGAGUGACGGUAAUGGGUAAGGAAGCAACGGCUAACUACGUG